AGUUAAAACAAAGUUAACUAUUUGAUCACAGAUCACAUAUCACACUUAAAUGUAGAUAGCUGUUUGGAAUAAAUAAUUGAAACAUCAUUGUAUUUUAUUCACCAGCGCCAGGCCUCGAAAGGAGAAAGUGUCCGAGAUGAGGGACACGACAGCAGAAGGUGUUACAUAGACCUGAAUAUGAGCGAGCUAGUAUUCCCCAGAUUACAGAGCGAAGAUAUUGUCCGAUGCUAAUUUAGAUUCCUUAUCCGAGAAUACGAUAUAAGCGAGAAUAGUCCCCAGUAAAUGAUGCCAGUCCCCCGACAUUUAAAUUUUACUAACGUUUUCGAGGAAAAGGGGAGACAACCCGACAGUGCAGCGAUUCUUCCCCCUUUUCCCGCAUUACAGAUGGUGGAGCAAGAGGAAAGAUCCUUGGUACCUCAAAACUCAAAAACCGGCGUUUGGUGAACUAAUAUUUCAAAGAACCAGUCUAAAGUGCAACUUUACAAAAGAAUUCGGACCUAAAAUAGGUGUUAUAUACCGAAAAAUUGGAAAUUUCCUAAAGUUUGAACCUGGAACAUUAUACCUGUUGUAUAAAAAUCGGAACAAUACAGAAACUGAACUAAAACGAAAUUAUCGGACCAUAGUGAUUAUGUUUUCAAAAUAUUGUGUGAAUUGAUAAUGUAUAUAUAUGUGUAAAUACUGUGUGAGUAUUGGUAUGUGUGAUUUGUUAAAAAAAAGAUUUGCUAAAUUAAAAAUAAUUCAAAUUCUUUAAAAAGAAUAAGUAAGUUUAACUAAUGGAAAAUGAUCAUAUAAUAUGUGAGUUAACGUAAAAUAAGCGAAAACGGUUUUAAAAAUAGGCUUAUAACAUAUUCAUAAAAAAAAGGUGAAGUCGAAAUUCCUUUUACUUAAUGGGCAAACGUUGAUUUGCAAAAUCCUUUGUAUAAUUGAGGACUGAACAGCGGUUAGAAAAACGCUAUAAAAAUAGUAAUGAUGAAAAAUAUAAGUAAAUGAAAAUAAAUAAAAUGAAAAAAUGUGUUGGAAAACAAUAAAGAAAACGAAGAAAACAAGGAAGGCAAAUAAUGUAAAUGGUCGUUGAAAAAUAAUGAAGAACAAGAUUCGUUCAUGAAAAUAUGAAAUAGAACAUUAAUGAAUUUAAAAUGUAAUAUUAUUUGGAAGCUAAAGUUCAGGCGGUUAAUAUUCAUUAAACUGUAAAGGAUUAAAAGAAAUGCCUCUGUUUAGAUGAUAACCAUAAAAUAAUGCCUCAAAUUUUAACUUACAAAAGAUAAAAAGUACAUAAAUUUAACAUCUGUAUAGAAAAGUAAAAUAAAUGUGAAAGUUGGCAUUGUGUGCUGCAACGAUUAUUUGAAUUUUAAGUUAAAAUUGAUAUGUAAAUUUCCCUUCAAGAGGAAUAAAGUUUGUUUGAGUCGUAAGAAUUUGUGGGUAUUCAUAACACCCUUAAAAUUAGUGCUAUGUAUGGAUUCGCCAUCCAUAUAAAAACGUGACCAAAUCAAACAUAAAUAGUCUCUUAAAGAUUAAUUUUGAUAUAAAUUGAAAAACUUACUAGGUAAUCAAAAUGUUGUAGAGUAAUUAUACACUUCGUUUAAAAACGUGUCUAAAAUAAGAACUAAAGCAGUAUAGUAGUAUUUGAGAAAGAGUAUUUAAGUCAUGUACUUUGAGGGUAUGACUCACGAUAGAAUUUGGAGUCGGAGCAAACUACCAAAGAAAACGGGCAUACGCCGAAAAAUGGGUAUGACACCGAGGUAGAUUUGGAGUUCGAGCAAACUAUCAAGAAUGUGGGCUUAUCACCUAGUAAUUUGAUUAAAUACAUAGAGGAUAAAAACUGCUUAAAUAUGAAAAAUGAAUAAAAUGAACAAAGAACGAACGCCAUUAUGCCUUGUAAAUAAAUCAACACCGUUGAAAGAAACAUAAA